CAGUUUCCAUACGCAUCUAGGCGUGACGCAGUCAACCUUAUCCUUUCGCACACACGAUCGCUAGCCACUCGUUCCCCUUCUUCUUUCUUCGAUCUCUCAGCCCAUCACGCGGCCGCUACCUCCUCCUGCAUCCGCCGCCAUGGAGAAACUUCUAUGCUCCUAUCUACCGUGAGACAACCCCUCCCCAAUCACCUAUCUCCUCCCUCCUUUCCCCCACAUCUACCCAUGUCGUCAGGCUGUGAGGCAGCCGGCUACGCGUGGAGACACACGGCGUGGCGAGCUCGAGGUGUUAACUGUGUGUGGAGACCUCGGUCGGAGAUGCUGGACCGGCUGGGAAGCUGCAACCGGCAGAAGUUUUCUGUUGCUGGACAUGGCCGUGCGAGACGACGGCGGCGAGCCAGAGAAGAGGAUGCCAGGAUGCUGCAACCAUGGUGGCCGUAUGCUGGAACCUGCAUGUGUUCGAGCUGCAUGUGCUACAACGACGAUGCCAUGCUAGAGGACGGAAGCUACAAGCUCGAAGGAGGAAAACCACCGGCGACGGGAUCCUUUUUGUUUUUGCUGGAACCUUACAUUGUUUUUGCUGUAAACAUGCUUUUUGUUUGUUGGAACCAUGUACUUUUUGGCUAGAGGAGGGCGACCAGCCGACCACCGGUGAUCACGACGGCCACCGACAGGCGAGGCAAGCGGCCCAGGGUGGCCGGCGAGCUGGCUAGGUUUUGGGGAGAUCAAGACUGCCUGUAUCACAGGCGCCAUGGCUAUAUUUUUCUUUUCUUAACGAAUCAGUUGGGGAA